GUCCGUGUAGAUCAGUUGGUAGAGCAAGGCGCUUGCAACGCCAGGAUUGUGGGUUUGAUUCCCACGGUGGACU
rnacentral:tRNA from 1 species